CAAAAAAUGGGCCAAAGAACUAAACAGACAUUUCUCCAAAGAAGACAUACAGAUGGCUAACAAACACAUGAAAAGAUACUCAACAUCACUCAUUAUCAGAGAAAUGUGAAUCAAAACCACGACGAGGUACCAUCUCACGACAGUCAGAAUUGCUGCUAU